CACUCGACCACCGAGCUAACGGGAUCGGUUGGCCGGUUCGAAUCUGAUGUACAUAGCAGUGGGUACCGCAUAAAAUAUAAGAUGGAAUCCAUCUUAUAAUCAUUGUAUAGCUGUUAGCUGGGGCAUUUUUGCUCCACUGUCUGCUGGUGAGCUGUAAAGCCAGAUACGGAGAACCUCGCUGCAAAACCAAAGUAUAACUGGGGAUUUCAGACAGUUUGGGAGUCCUUCCACACCGCAUGUGCAUCCAUUUGAAGUAGAUCGGGGCAGUCGCCUGCUACUUGCUUGUGCCAAGACCUGACCUCGGGUACUACCCCAAGAGCCAGACGAGGACUGGAUUAACCUCGUGACAGUUCAGCUGCUCAACUGGAAACCAGAACUCUAUUGCUAAAUACCCUGAAUACAUUUAUUGUCAUCGAGUCAAAGAUAGAGUGAAGUCAAUCAGUUAAUUUGAGUCCAAGAAAUAGUGAACUACUAUUGUAACGAGUGUUUUUUUUUUUUAUGAAAUACAAAAAAGGAAACCGUUCAGUGUUGAUUCAUAUUCAAAGAAAAAGCAGAAGUGAUUCUGCUGGUGUAGCAACUAAAAUGUCAAUUUGUUAAAGUAAAGAGGAGUGUAAAUUGAGUCGUGUACUAAAAACCUAGUGUAAUUAAGUCAGUGUAUAGUGCACAUAAGCGCACUGUGUUUCAAGCGUAUACGACUUGAAGAUAAUCUUGUUAGUUCAAGUUAAGUGUAACACCGUUUCCAUAAACGGAAGUGUAAUAAGGU